UACGUAGGGGGCAAGCGUUGUCCGGAAUCAUUGGGCGUAAAGCGCGUGUAGGUGGCCAAGUAGGUCAGCUGUGAAAACUUGAGGCUCAACCUCAAGCUGUCGGUUGAAACCACUUGGCUAGAGUCCGGAAGAGGAGAGUGGAAUUCCUGGUGUAGCGGUGAAAUGCGCAGAUAUCAGGAAGAACACCAAUGGCGAAGGCAGCUCUCUGGGACGGUACUGACACUGAGACGCGAAAGCGUGGGGAGCCGAACAGG
rnacentral:rRNA from 1 species